rnacentral:lncRNA from 1 species
CAUUUAUAUAGACAGCUAGAUGGGUCAGAGGCAAAGCAGGCUUACCCAAAUGUACUUUCAAUUCCUUUUCCAAUUGAGACUGCUCCCUUCCUGGGCUAAGCCCACAGUGAAAGCUCAUUGGUCGGAGGCACUUCAACUUCCUACACAAACAUAAACACCUCUGCUGUGUUGCUAAGUUGAAAGAAGCAGCUUGUUGACAUGACGUAUGCUAAAGUUUGGAUCCAGAACUAAGAGACAGUAUUUUAGCUGCUGGUAUGUGGUGCUGACGCUGUGCUGCAUGAAGAGGUUUUCUUUUAUAAAUGUUGGACUUGUGCCCAGACUGCUAUAGUAGAAUCUGGAAGAAAACACAAUAAGGAGAACGUCAGAUCAAUUUGCAGGAACAUAUAUGUGGGGGAAAAAAAGGCUUUAAACAUAAAAGGCAUUUUUCAAACAGUGAGAGACCCAGACAAUGGACAGUAACUAUGAAUUUUUUAAAACCUAUCCUGAAUCAACCCCUAUUAUCAAUACAGAGUCAAAAGAAUGUUUUAUCUGUCGAGAAGGAGAGGAGAUGGGUCAUGAUGCUCUGCUUCACUUCUGUGACUGCAAAAACUUGAUUGCUCACCAGCAGUGUAUGUUAACCUGGAUACAGAAGGGUUUUUAUACAGAAGAUCAUCCAAGAUGCAAAGUUUGUACAGCUGAGUACCAGCUACAGAAAGGAUCCAUCUGGAGAUUCCUGUUUUGUCAGUGGCAGAAUUGGAUCUUCUUCUUCAUAGCCCUGGCAGUAAUGGCUAUCAUUCCACUUGCAGUCUAUCAAAUGAUGGUGGCUUUUAAGAACCCUCCACCUAGCACUGUGUUCCAUGCAGCAGCUAUCUGCUUUGGAGUGCUUACAGAGACUCUACUGAUCAAAUACCUGAUGUAUUAUUGCCGCAACAAAUACAACAAGGCCAAGAUGUCUUCAUUUUCCAUCAGAGCAAGGACUGUAAGAGCAAUAUGA